UUUAUGCAAAUCAAUCCUGUUCAGCCGAUCCGUUUUAUAUCGUGGCAGGGUACGAGGGGCGGGGGACAUAGUUAGCGCGAAAUCCGCGGAGGGGAGGGGGGGAAUUUGUAGGAUCGAUCGGGCGGAUCGACGAGGGGGAGUAAGGGUGGAAAAUAGGAUUGGAUCAAAGCGGUGCAAAUGAGGAGGUUAACGGCCUUCAGGCUAGUUACGUUUCCCUGUAUACCUCGUGUACACGUAGGUGUGUUGUGCUCGGCCGGCUGACCGCGUCGCCUCGUUAAUAUUAAGCAUAAGGUCAAUAAGGCGAGGGUUAAAUGGGGCGGAUGUCGCUUUGACCGGCGCUUCGCCUUCCACGUUGGCGACUAUGUACGCCUCUCCUCUAG